UACGAAGGGGGCUAGCGUUGUUCGGAUUCACUGGGCGUAAAGGGUGCGUAGGCGGUCGGGUAAGUCUGGCGUGAAAUCUCCAAGCCUAACUUGGAAACUGCGUUGGAUACUAUCCGGCUCGAGGAAUGGAGGGGAGACUGGAAUACUUGGUGUAGCAGUGAAAUGCGUAGAUAUCAAGUGGAACACCAGUGGCGAAGGCGAGUCUCUGGACAUUUCCUGACGCUGAGGCACGAAAGCCAGGGGAGCAAACGGG
rnacentral:rRNA from 1 species